UACGGGGGGGGCAAGCGUUGUUCGGAAUUACUGGGCGUAAAGGGCUCGUAGGUGGCCAACUAAGUCAGACGUGAAAUCCCUCGGCUUAACCGGGGAACUGCGUCUGAUACUGGAUGGCUUGAGUUCGGGAGAGGGAUGCGGAAUUCCAGGUGUAGCGGUGAAAUGCGUAGAUAUCUGGAGGAACACCGGUGGCGAAGGCGGCAUCCUGGACCGACACCGACGCUGAGGAGCGAAAGCCAGGGGAGCAAAGC
rnacentral:rRNA from 1 species